rnacentral:rRNA from 1 species
ACUGCUCAGUAACACGUGGACAACCUACCCUAAGGAGGGGGAUAACCCCGGGAAACUGGGGAUAAUACCCCAUAGACUAGAGAAGCUGGAAUGCUCUCAAGUCCAAAGGUCCGCCGCCUUAGGAUGGGUCUGCGGUCGAUUAGGUUGUUGUUGGGGUAACGGCCCAACAAGCCCGUGAUCGAUACGGGUUGUGAGAGCAAGAGCCCGGAGAUGGAUUCUGAGACACGAAUCCAGGCCCUACGGGGCGCAGCAGGCGCGAAAACUUUACAAUGCGGGAAACCGUGAUAAGGGAACCCCGAGUGCCCGUAAAUUCGGGCUGUCCAUCAGCGUAAAUAACUGGUGAAGAAAGGGCCGGGCAAGACCGGUGCCAGCCGCCGCGGUAAUACCGGCGGCUCGAGUGGUGGCCACUAUUAUUGGGCUUAAAGCGUCCGUAGCUUGGUUGUUAAGUCUCUUGGGAAAUCUACCGGCUCAACCGGUAGGCGUUCAGGAGAUACUGGCAAUCUAGGGACCGGGAGAGGUGAGAGGUACUCCAGGGGUAGGAGUGAAAUCCUGUAAUCCUUGGGGGACCACCUGUGGCGAAGGCGUCUCACUAGAACGGCUCCGACAGUGAGGGACGAAAGCUGGGGGAGCAAACCGGAUUAGAUACCCGGGUAGUCCCAGCUGUAAACGAUGCGCGUUAGGUGUAUCGGUGACCACGAGUCACCGAGGUGCCGAAGGGAAACCGUGAAACGUGCCGCCUGGGGAAGUACGGUCGCAAGGCUGAAACUUAAAGGAAUUGGCGGGGGAGCAC